ensembl:snoRNA SNORD58 Small nucleolar RNA SNORD58
UUGCUGUGAUGACAGUCUUAGGACACCUUUGGAUUAACCAUGAAAAAAAACAUCUUCUGAGCAAC